CCGAACCCUUUGCAUCUUGUUUCCUGGGAUGCGUCUUAAGAUUCUGUAGUUAUGGAGAUUCAAAGGAUACAGAACUUCAUAGUGAACCUCUGCUCUGGGAGCUGAGAAGCCACAAGUCUGAGCACCAUGCUGAACACCAGGUCUUCAACACGGAGGCUUUGGGGCUUUCCAGACCCGCACAGAAGAAGUGAGCCUCCCUUGUCCUCUUGUGUGCCCUGGCCUGUCAGGAGGCAACAAGAAGGCUCUCACAGGUGCCAGCACCACGCUUUCAGGUAAUGGCACAGGGAGAAGUGGCAAGAAUUGUGGACUUGUCCUCAAACAGGGGCAAACUGUUGGGACUAUGCUGACUGAUUGGGUGGAUGCUGGGCGUGGAAAUUUGCAGAGCUGUCUUGGAGGGUCCUGUAUUCUGCUGACUUGAAGAUGGGUGGUGGAUGCAGCUGCAAGUAAUUAGCAUAUAUGCCCCCAUUUCCAAGGCAAAAAGGAAUAGUUUUGGCUCCUUCCACUAGCUACAUUUUCAUGCUAAAUGCACUUGAAUAUAUUCAAUAAAACACAUUAAUCUUUCAUGUUUGGUGAAUGAAUUUUGACAAAUACACACCCCAAUUAAAAUAUAAGACACUCUGUUGUCCUUGAAAGUUAGCUUAUGCUUGUUUCAUGGAGUUAUGAUCUCAGCCCUCCUCCCUAGGUCCAGGC